rnacentral:tRNA from 1 species
UGUUAUGUAGCUUAGUUGGUUAAAGUGCCGGUCUAGCGAAUACGUAGUCGUGAGUUCACAUCUCACCAGAACGC